rnacentral:rRNA from 1 species
AUGAAGGUCAGGCUCCAGGUGCGGCGCAUGUGGGAGGCAGUCCAGGACAGCAACGUCGACCACCUAGAGGAUCGACGGGCGCUGGACGCCCUCAUCGCCGCAGUCCCGCCCGAGAUGCAGUUCUCGCUUUCCAACAAGCGGACUGCCAAGGAGGCUUGGGACGCCAUCGCCGCAGCACGCAUCGGCAGCGACCGUGCUCGCAAGUCCACCCUGCAGGCACUUCGUAAGGAGUGGGAGAACCUGGGCUUCAAGCCAGGUGAGGACGUUGAUGACUUUGCUCUCCGUCUCAACACUCUGCUGCAGAAGAUGGUGAAGUUUGGCGAUGCCACCUACACCGAGGAGAGAACUGUCGAGAAGCUUUUUCGGUGCAUUCCCGAGAAGUACAAGCAGAUGGCUCGCUCGAUCGAGUCGUUGCUGGACCUCUCCACGAUGAUGAUCGAGGAGGCGAUAGGUCGACUCAAGGUCGUCGACACCGACGAGCCAUAG